AUUUAUCUAUAAGAACCACUGAUCAAUAAAAUCUGUCAGCAAAUAUGUUUUCUUGGCCUGGUUGGAUAAUCGACGUGUAAUUGAGGGAAUGCUCUCUUAA